rnacentral:rRNA from 1 species
GGUCAGGAUGAACGCUGGCGGCGUGCCUAACACAUGCAAGUCGAACGGGGUGUCUGAUCUUCGGACUGGACACUUAGUGGCGGACGGGUGAGUAACGCGUGGGUAACCUGCCUCAUACAGGGGGAUAGCAGUUGGAAACGACUGAUAAUACCGCAUAAGCGCACAGUACCGCAUGGUACAGUGUGAAAAACUCCGGGUGGUAUGAGAUGGACCCGCGUCUGAUUAGCUUGUUGGCGGGGUAACGGCCCACCAAGGCGACGAUCAGUAGCCGGCCUGAGAGGGUGAACGGCCACAUUGGGACUGAGACACGGCCCAAACUCCUACGGGAGGCAGCAGUGGGGAAUAUUGCACAAUGGGGGAAACCCUGAUGCAGCGACGCCGCGUGAAGGAUGAAGUAUUUCGGUAUGUAAACUCCUAUCAGCAGGGAAGAUGAUGACGGUACCUGACUAAGAAGCCCCGGCUAACUACGUGCCAGCCGCGGC